GAUGGAAUAAGUUAGGGUUAAGGUUACCUGUUCAGAUGGCUUAAACUUUUUAAAGAUUUUUCAUUUGCCUAAUUUCCAAAUAUCCUUUCUCUCUUUUUUUUCUUUUGAUAAGAAUUAACUCUCUGAAGUUUGCAUUUCAAAGAGAUGGCCCUCAGUUCCUAGAGAAGACUGGGUAAACAUUUACACCUCCAAGCCACAAGGAAAGCAGAGUGGAAAGGCAGUUCACAUAGAGGAUGAGUCGACUGUGAGGACUCAGGUAAAGGAGGAUCAAGGGGAGCAGCAGGAGCCAGGAAGAGUAGCCCUGAGCUAACAUCUGCUGCCAAUCCUCCUCUUUUUUGCUGAGGAAGACUGGCCCUGAGCUAGCAUCUGUGCCCAUCUUCCUCUACGUUAUAUGUGGGACGCCUACCACAGCAUGGCUUGCCAAGUGGUGCCAUGUCCACACCCAGGAUCCGAACCUGUGGACCCCAGACCGAUGAAGCAGAACGUGUGAACUUAACCACUGCACCACCCAGCCGGCCCCCUUAAAGACCGAUCUUGAAUGGGAUUGUCAUAAGGUGACUUCCGGUUGCCAAGUUCUUAUGUUGCAUAUUUAUUCCUCUCUGGCAACUGAAAGAGGAUAUGGAGAUCUUUCUUAGGCCUCACGGAACGAGGCAUCUGGUAAAAUUAAAAAUCGCAAAAGCAGAGACUUACCCACAUAGUAAGCAACCCGAAGCUAUCCUACAUUCGUCUCCAUCUUCCUUGGUGUUAAUGUAAAACAGUGCCAUCUGUUUGAAAGAGAAUUCCUUUCUUUGCAUCACUGGCUUUCCUCAGAGCCCCCGUAGGAAAUAGCACACUGGCUUCAAGAACCACAGCCUCACCACUCUCCUGGAACUGCACACCUCUCUGUGAACUAGAACAGAGUUGGUUCAGCCAACAACUUCAGCCCUUUCACCCUUGCUGGGAUGCCAUUUGAAAUCUUUGGUGAUAUCUGAUUCUAUCCCUUGAUUUUAGUUGAGUGGUUGGGGAACCCCCGCCCUUAAAUCAUGAUCUCAUGUCAUACCACAUUUUUAACCUGAGCUCACACUGAUUAUUCUGCUGUCACGUUAUUUUUAUUUGCAAUAAGAAAUGUUAAGGGAGAAAAUGCCUUAGUGUGUCGCCGUGCAGGGCUGACUUCAUGAGCCGCUCUCCUCAUGUUGCCUUUAAUGCUCUAUUUUUGCCAUUUUGAAAUUCAAUUCUGUUGGACAAGGGACUCACAUUUUCAUUUUGCACAGAGUUCCUCAAAUUUUGGAGCGAGUCCUGUCGCUACCCACCCCGAUCUGUUUCUCAGACAAGCAGAAAGCUGGAAUUGGAUGAAACACUAAAAAAGACUGCUUUGGUGUGGCUGAGAACACAGAGUAGAUUUUUGCUGUGUUUGUUCAUAUUUGCUGAACAUAGCAUCUCAAGGGAAUCUGGAUUCUUCCUGGGAGAUGGAAGUGGGG
rnacentral:lncRNA from 1 species